CCCAUAUGGUCGACCUGCAGGCGGCCGCGAAUUCACUAGUGAUUAGAGUUUGAUCAUGGCUCAGAACGAACGCUGGCGGCAUGCCUAACACAUGCAAGUCGAACGAAGGCUUCGGCCUUAGUGGCGCACGGGUGCGUAACGCGUGGGAAUCUGCCCCUUGGUUCGGAAUAACAGUUAGAAAUGACUGCUAAUACCGGAUGACGACGUAAGUCCAAAGAUUUAUCGCCGAGGGAUGAGCCCGCGUAGGAUUAGCUAGUUGGUGUGGUAAAGGCGCACCAAGGCGACGAUCCUUAGCUGGUCUGAGAGGAUGAUCAGCCACACUGGGACUGAGACACGGCCCAGACUCCUACGGGAGGCAGCAGUGGGGAAUAUUGGACAAUGGGCGAAAGCCUGAUCCAGCAAUGCCGCGUGAGUGAUGAAGGCCUUAGGGUUGUAAAGCUCUUUUACCCGGGAUGAUAAUGACAGUACCGGGAGAAUAAGCUCCGGCUAACUCCGUGCCAGCAGCCGCGGUAAUACGAAUCGAAUUCCCGCGGCCGC
rnacentral:rRNA from 1 species